UGUUGCAAACCUAUCUUUCCUUGGUUCUCUCUGAAUUUCUGCUUUCCAGCUAUUGCAGUUUCCUUUUCCUCAAGAGGACUCGUUCACUUGGUGAGGGCCUUCUAUCUUCAAAAGCGUCCAUCAGGGCUCUUCCAAGGGGAACUCUUCCUUCUUCUUGAUAUGGAGAAUAUUUUGAGGCGAUUCAUCUCUUAGUUGCGGAUUCUUUGAGAGCUGGACAUCUGAUGAAUGGUCUAAAGACAUGUUUUGAAGUUUUCCUAUGUGUGAAAAGCUGUGAUCAUAAGCUGUUCUCUCAAUCUGAUGGGGCUAUUACAAGGUUGAUGGAAAAGAUGCCAUGGUUAAUGGACUAUGGAGAAAGUCAAAUUUUUUAUGUACGAGUGGUAGAGUUCAACA